rnacentral:rRNA from 1 species
AAAUGGGGGUAAGCACUACACCCUUUGUGACAUACCUAUAACUGUUGCUUCGGCGGGUAGGGUCUCCGCGACCCUCCCGGCCUCCCGCCUCCGGGCGGGUCGGCGCCCGCCGGAGGAUAACCAAACUCUGAUUUAACGACGUUUCUUCUGAGUGGUACAAGCAAAUAAUCAAAACUUUUAACAACGGAUCUCUUGGUUCUGGCAUCGAUGAAGAACGCAGCGAAAUGCGAUAAGUAAUGUGAAUUGCAGAAUUCAGUGAAUCAUCGAAUCUUUGAACGCACAUUGCGCCCGCCAGCAUUCUGGCGGGCAUGCCUGUUCGAGCGUCAUUUCAACCCUCAAGCUCUGCUUGGUGUUGGGGCCCUACAGCUGAUGUAGGCCCUCAAAGGUAGUGGCGGACCCUCUCGGAGCCUCCUUUGCGUAGUAACUUUACGUCUCGCACUGGGAUCCGGAGGGACUCUUGCCGUAAAACCCCCAUUUUUCCAAAGGUUGACCUCGGAUCAGGUAGGAAUACCCCCUUGAACUUACCCCUAU